rnacentral:rRNA from 1 species
AUUGAACGCUGGCGGCAGGCCUAACACAUGCAAGUCGAGCGGAUGAAGGGAGCUUGCUCCUGGAUUCAGCGUCGGACGGGUGAGUAAUGCCUAGGAAUCUGCCUGGUAGUGGGGGAUAACGUCCGGAAACGGGCGCUAAUACCGCAUACGUCCUGCGGGAGAAAGUGGGGGAUCUUCGGACCUCACGCUCUCAGAUGAGCCUAGGUCGGAUUAGCUAGUUGGUGGGGUAAAGGCCUACCAAGGCGACGAUCCGUAACUGGUCUGAGAGGAUGAUCAGUCACACUGGAACUGAGACACGGUCCAGACUCCUACGGGAGGCAGCAGUGGGGAAUAUUGGACAAUGGGCGAAAGCCUGAUCCAGCCAUGCCGCGUGUGUGAAGAAGGUCUUCGGAUUGUAAAGCACUUUAAGUUGGGAGGAAGGGCAGUAAGUUAAUACCUUGCUGUUUUGACGUUACCAACAGAAUAAGCACCGGCUAACUUCGUG